GCUGGAAUUAACGCUAUGGUAGAUAUCAUUGUGAGCUGAAACCUGGCGUCAAUAUCGGGACAGCUGUGGACUCGCGGUCAGGACAUCUCAAUAUACUGUCUCGGUAGGAGACCACUUCUCAUGUGGGCUACAGGACGAAGUUUGCUGUAGUUGAAAAGAGCUGGGCACCAACUUUUAGCCAUGCUUUGGUGGUGCAACCUUUCCCACAGUCCCAGCCUCCCUGUCUGCCAUUGUCAAGUCC
rnacentral:lncRNA from 1 species